rnacentral:rRNA from 1 species
GACGAACGCUGGCGGCGUGCUUAACACAUGCAAGUCGAACGGAAAGGCCCUGCUUUUGUGGGGUGCUCGAGUGGCGAACGGGUGAGUAACACGUGAGUAACCUGCCCUUGACUUUGGGAUAACUUCAGGAAACUGGGGCUAAUACCGGAUAGGAGCUCCUGCUGCAUGGUGGGGGUUGGAAAGUUUCGGCGGUUGGGGAUGGACUCGCGGCUUAUCAGCUUGUUGGUGGGGUAGUGGCUUACCAAGGCUUUGACGGGUAGCCGGCCUGAGAGGGUGACCGGCCACAUUGGGACUGAGAUACGGCCCAGACUCCUACGGGAGGCAGCAGUGGGGAAUAUUGCACAAUGGGCGGAAGCCUGAUGCAGCAACGCCGCGUGCGGGAUGACGGCCUUCGGGUUGUAAACCGCUUUCGCCUGUGACGAAGCGUGAGUGACGGUAAUGGGUAAAGAAGCACCGGCUAACUACGUGCCAGCAGCCGCGGUGAUACGUAGGGUGCGAGCGUUGUCCGGAUUUAUUGGGCGUAAAGGGCUCGUAGGUGGUUGAUCGCGUCGGAAGUGUAAUCUUGGGGCUUAACCCUGAGCGUGCUUUCGAUACGGGUUGACUUGAGGAAGGUAGGGGAGAAUGGAAUUCCUGGUGGAGCGGUGGAAUGCGCAGAUAUCAGGAGGAACACCAGUGGCGAAGGCGGUUCUCUGGGCCUUUCCUGACGCUGAGGAGCGAAAGCGUGGGGAGCGAACAGGCUUAGAUACCCUGGUAGUCCACGCUGUAAACGGUGGGUACUAGGUGUGGGGUCCAUUCCACGGGUUCCGUGCCGUAGCUAACGCUUUAAGUACCCCGCCUGGGGAGUACGGCCGCAAGGCUAAAACUUAAAGGAAUUGACGGGGCCCCGCACAAGCGGCGGAGCAUGCGGAUUAAUUCGAUGCAACGCGUAGAACCUUACCUGGGUUUGACAUGGAUCGGGAGUGCUCAGAGAUGGGUGUGCCUCUUUUGGGGUCGGUUCACAGGUGGUGCAUGGCUGUCGUCAGCUCGUGUCGUGAGAUGUUGGGUUAAGUCCCGCAACGAGCGCAACCCUUGUUCACUGUUGCCAGCACGUUAUGGUGGGGACUCAGUGGAGACCGCCGGGGUCAACUCGGAGGAAGGUGGGGAUGACGUCAAGUCAUCAUGCCCCUUAUGUCCAGGGCUUCACGCAUGCUACAAUGGCUGGUACAGAGAGUGGCGAGCCUGUGAGGGUGAGCGAAUCUCGGAAAGCCGGUCUCAGUUCGGAUUGGGGUCUGCAACUCGACCUCAUGAAGUCGGAGUCGCUAGUAAUCGCAGAUCAGCAACGCUGCGGUGAAUACGUUCCCGGG